CUCGCGAGAUUUGCACGGUUGGGAGGCAGGGGGGGGUCCUGGGGGGGGUGGGGGAAGUGCCGACAGUGGGGGAGGAGGGGGAGGGGACGAGGAAGGUGGGGGGGUCCCCGCUGCCCCGGCGCCCCGCCUCCUCCAAUCAGCGGCCGGCCUGCCGGGCAGGGGUUAACCAGGGGACCCCGCGCAGGCGAAGGAGGCCGCCGCCUCGCCGGGCGGCUGAGGGCGGGCUGACGGGCGGCGCCGACGGACGCACCGCGACGCGAGGGGAGGUCUGACCCGGCUGGGCCGGAGUCCCGGAGACCCCGCAGCCGUCUUCGUAAAAUCGGCCCCCGCCCCGCGGGACCGGCCCCAGCAGAGCGGUUGGGCCGGCGCCCUGGGUCGCGGACCAACGCUGGAGGGGCCUCGCUGCCUGGGCCGGGCGCUUCCCGGAUCCGCCUCGCCGAACCCUGCGCCCGCCUAAUCCCUGAUCUCCACGAGUUUGGGUGAGAAGUGGGGUUGCUCUGCCCAGGAUGGAUUUUAAAGGAAGAAAGCCGUGAGCCGACGAACCCCGCCCGAACUUCCCCGGAGACGCCCAACCUGCUGAACGGGCGAAGGAUGGCAGUUUAGUUAUUGUUCGUUGUUCAGCCUUCCCAACCCUUGGGCACAUUCAAGCACUGUAGAAAAAAAUCCAUUCCGCCAAGAGUCACCUUGCUUCAAAUCCCAGCCAGUGAAUGGUCAAAACAGUAACUCCUUAAAAUGACACUGGAACAUCUCAAAAGAGAAGAGUUUAAGAGAAAGAACACUGGACAGAGCUGGAGCUGAGCUCCGGCCAGCUCCUCCACAGACAAACUGCUCGGGCCGCUACCUAACCUGUCAAGUUUCGCCAAC
ensembl:lncRNA